GAUGAACGCUGGCGGCGUGCUUAACACAUGCAAGUCGAACGGAGAAUACGGAACUUGCUCUGUGGGAUCAGUGGCGAACGGGUGAGUAACACGUGAGCAACCUGCUCCGGACCCUGGGAUAAGCGCUGGAAACGGCGUCUAAUACAGGAUAUGUUACGUGACCGCAUGGUCUGCGUUUGGAAAGAUUGGUCGGUUGGGGAUGGGCUCGCGGGCUAGCAGCUUGUUGGUGAGGUAAGGUCGCAGCAGGGCGUCGACGGGUAGCCGGCCUGAGAGGGUGACCGGCCACAGUGGGCUUGCGGCACGAGCCAGACUGCUACGGCGGGCAUCAGUGGGAAACGUUGCACGCUGCGCCGCGUCCUGAUACAGCGACUCCGCGUGGUGAAUGACGGCUUUCGGAUUAUAAACCUUUUUUAGCUGGGAAGUAGCGACAGUGACGGUACCUACAGAAAAAGCCCCGGCUAACUACGUG
rnacentral:rRNA from 1 species